rnacentral:lncRNA from 1 species
UUGAUUCAAAGUUUUGAUUUAUUUCAUAAAGUUUAUGUUUUAUGAUUUUCAAAUGUUUAAAUGCAUUAGAUUUUUAUUUGAAAGGUGUAAGAGAUAUUGGUGGGUGUGAAAGGAUUAAUUUAAUCCUUUCCUUUCACACACACCACUUGCAUGCUUUAUGUCAAACUACAAAUCAACACACACAUCACUCUCUUUGGUCUCCAAAACCGGCCACCCUAUCAAGUGGGGUACUUUUGGGGCUUUUAUGCAAUUACAUAAAGUUUUGAUACUUUUGUGUAUUUGCACUUUGGCCCAAAAGUUUACGUUUUUACGUUAAGGUCCAAAAACGCUAAAGGACAAAUUGUUUUGAUCAUUUAAUGAAGUUUUUGCAUUGAUUAAAUUUUGGGUUCUAUUGUAAUUACAUGAAGUAGUGGACUUUUGUGUCUUUACAAAGUGACCCCAAAAGUUUUGCAAUAUAGCCCAAAAGUUGAGGUUAAUUGCUUUAUAGCCCAAAUAAGUUGUGGUUAUUGCAUGAUGGCCCAAAUUAGGUAGAGAACAAAAUUUUUUUGUCUCUUUAAAUGAGAAUUGGAUUUUCAUUUUGUUUAGCUCCAUUUAAAUCAAUUUUAUGGAUACAAAAACCAAAUGAAAAUGUUGCAUUCAAGUUUAAUUAGUUAAAGUGUUAAUUAAUUAAAGGGUGAUUAUGAACCUAAGCCUAAAAUAAUUGAGCUAUGUGAUAGGCCGUUUCAAAUUUGUUUGAACCAUGGGAAUGAGUAGAUUAGAUUUUGGUUGUAAUUUGAUUUGAUCAAAUGUUGUAAAAGGGCUUAAGCUCUUCUUUACUUUAAA